rnacentral:rRNA from 1 species
CAGUAGCCGCGGGAAUACCGAGGGUGCAAGCGUUAAUCGGAAUUACUGGGCGUAAAGCGCGCGUAGGUGGUUUGUUAAGUUGGAUGUGAAAUCCCCGGGCUCAACCUGGGAACUGCAUCCAAAACUGGCAAGCUAGAGUAUGGUAGAGGGUGGUGGAAUUUCCUGUGUAGCGGUGAAAUGCGUAGAUAUAGGAAGGAACACCAGUGGCGAAGGCGACCACCUGGACUGAUACUGACACUGAGGUGCGAAAGCGUGGGGAGCAAACAGGAUUAGAUACCCCAGUAGUCCCUGUCUCUUAUAC